UUCGUAACUCAAUGGUAGAGUAUGUACCUGUUAGGUACAAUGUUACAGGUUCAAAUCCCGUCGAA
rnacentral:tRNA from 2 species